GCCCAGGUGGCGGAAUUGGUAGACGCGCUAGUUUGAGGGGCUAGUCGGGUAAAACCGGUGCAGGUUCGAUUCCUGUCCUGGGCACCA
rnacentral:tRNA from 1 species